ACGCUCGACACCUACGGAGGCAGCAGUGGGGAAUAUUGCACAAUGGGGGGAACCCUGAUGCAGCGACGCCGCGUGAGUGAAGAAGUACUUCGGUAUGUAAAGCUCUAUCAGCAGGGAANAAAAUGACGGUACCUGACUAAGAAGCCCCGGCUAACUACGUGCCAGCAGCCGUGGUAAUCUGAGCGGCUGGCAAGGC
rnacentral:rRNA from 1 species